rnacentral:rRNA from 1 species
CCCAUUCCGAACACAGAAGUUAAGCUCUCUAGCGCUGAUGGUACUUGGUGGGAAACUGCCUGGGAGAGUAGGACGUAGCCACGU